rnacentral:rRNA from 1 species
AACGAACGCUGGCGGCAUGCCUAACACAUGCAAGUCGAACGAGACCUUCUGGUCUAGUGGCGCACGGGUGCGUCACGCGUGGGAACCUGCCCUUAGGUUCGGAAUAACUCCCCGAAAGGGGUGCUAAUACCGGAUAAUGUCUUCGGACCAAAGUUUUAUCGCCUUUGGAUGGACCUGCGUUGGAUUAGCUAGUUGGUAGGGUAAAAGGCUACCAAGGCGAGGAUCCAUAGCUGGUCAGAGAGGUUGAUCAGCCACACUGGGAGUGAGACACAGCCCAGACUCUUACGGGAGGCAGCAGUGGGGAAUAUUGGAAAGUGGGCGGAGGCAUGAUGCAGCAAUGCCGCGAGAGUGAUGAAGGCCGUAGGGUUGGAAAGCGCUUUUACCCGGGAAGGUAAUGACAGUACCGGGAGAAUAAGCUCCGGCUAACUCCGUG